rnacentral:rRNA from 1 species
AUACGGAGGAUGCGAGCGUUAUCCGGAUUUAUUGGGUUUAAAGGGUGCGCAGGCGGCGAGUCAAGUCAGCGGUCAAACUGCGGCGCUCAACGCCGUACCGCCGUUGAAACUGGCGCGCUCGAGUUUGUGCGAGGAUGGCGGAAUGCGCAGUGUAGCGGUGAAAUGCAUAGAUAUUGCGCAGAACUCCGAUUGCGAAGGCAGCUGUCCAGCACACUACUGACGCUCAUGCACGAAAGCGUGGGUAUCGAACAGGAUUAGAUACUUUGGUAGUCCACGCGGUAAACGAUGAUAACUAGUUAUCCGGCCAGAUUGAUGGUUGGGUGACCGAGCGAAAGCGUUAAGUUAUCCACCUGGGGAGUACGCCGGCAACGGUGAAACUCAAAUGAAUUGGCGGGG